GACGAACGCUGGCGGCGUGCUUAACACAUGCAAGUCGAACGGAAAGGCCCUGCUUUUGUGGUGUUCUCGAGUGGCGAACGGGUGAGUAACACGUGAGUAACCUGCCCUUGACUUUGGGAUAACUUCACGAAACUGGGGCUAAUACCAGAUAGGAUCUCCUGUUGCAUUGUGGGGGGUGGAAAGUUUCGGCUGUUGGGGAUGGACUCGCGGGUUAUCAGCUUGUUGGUGGGGUAGUGGCUUACCAAGGCUUUGACGGGUAGCCGGCCGGAGAGGGUGACCGGCCACAAUGGGACUGAGAUACGGACCAGACUCCUACGGGAGGCAGCAGUCGGGAAUAUUGCACAAUGGGAGGAAGCCUGAUGCAGAAACGCCGCGUGCGGGAUGACGGCCUGUGGGGUGUAAACCGCUUUAGCCUGUGACGACGCGUUAGUGACGGUAAUGGGUAAAGAAGCACCGGCUAACUACGUG
rnacentral:rRNA from 1 species